rnacentral:lncRNA from 1 species
GAGAGGACAUCGGAUUCUUCAAAGUGAUACACUCGACUUUGUGAUACGAGUUGGGCUACAUCCUUUGAUCGCUGAGGCUAGUCUUUUAUAAGGUACUGGGUGCUUCUGCAACGAUAGCAGGUGUUAUUGAUAUACCGACAGUGCAGGUAAGCAUGUGAGCGAGCACAAUGUUGAUAGGGUUUGUUAGCUCAGGUAGGUGGAGCUGUAGAUGGUGGCAAGGCAGGAGGUAGGGCAAUUCUAGUUCCUUUGUUUAGAGGG